UACGAAGGGGGCUGGCGUUGUUCGGAAUUACUGGGCGUAAAGCGAACGUAGGCGGUGUUCCAUGUCAGAGGUGAAAGCCUGGGGCUCAACUCCAGAAUUGCCUUUGAAACGGGAACGCUUGAGUCCGAGAGAGGAUGGCGGAAUUCCUAGUGUAGAGGUGAAAUUCGUAGAUAUUAGGAAGAACACCGGUGGCGAAGGCGGCCAUCUGGCUCGGUACUGACGCUCAGGUUCGAAAGCGUGGGGAGCAAACAGG
rnacentral:rRNA from 1 species